rnacentral:rRNA from 1 species
UUUUGGUAAGCAGAACUGGCGCUGUGGGAUGAACCAAACGCCGGGUUACGGCGCCCGAUGCGAGACGCUCAUGAGACCCCAUGAAAGGUGUUGGUUGCUCCUGACAGCAGGACGGUGGUCAUGGAAGUCGAAAUCCGCUAAGGAGUGUGUAACAACUCACCUGCCGAAGCAACUAGCCCUGAAAAUGGAUGGCGCUCCAGCGUCGAGCCCAUACCCGGCCGCUGCGGCAGAGCUCCCCGAGGAGGUUUACGCCGCAGUGAGUAGGAGGGUCGCGGCGGGGAGCGUUGAAGGUGCCGGGCGCGAGCCCGCCUGGAGCCCCCGUCGGUGCAGAUCUUGGUGGUAGUAGCAAAUACUCAAGUGAGAACCUUGAGGACUGAAGGUGGAGAAGGGUUCCAUGAGAACAGCAGUUGAACAUGGGUCAGUCGGCCCUAAGGGAUCGGAGAAAUCCGUUCCGAAGCGGGACCUUACGUCGAGAGCGCAAGUCCCGCUGCCGACCGAAAGGGAAUGGGGUCAAUAUUCCCCAACCCGGACACGGAGAUUGAGCCUUCGGGCUCGAGUGCGGCGACGCAACCGAACUCGGAGAAGUCGACGGAGGACCCGGGGAAGAGUUGUCUUUUCUUUGUAAGGGUUCGUGUCCCUGGAAUCGGCUCGUCCGGAGAUAGGGACGCUGUUCCCGUAAAAGCACCGCGGCUCUUGCGGUGUCCGGUCCGCCUCUGUCGGCCCUUGCAAAUCCGAGGGAGAUGGUGUGAUUUUCGUGCCGGACCGUACCCAUAUCCGCAGCA